AACGAACGCUGGCGGCAGGCUUAACACAUGCAAGUCGAGCGCCCCGCAAGGGGAGCGGCAGACGGGUGAGUAACGCGUGGGAAUCUACCGAGCCCUAAGGAAUAGCUCCGGGAAACUGGAAUUAAUACCUUAUACGCCCUUUGGGGGAAAGAUUUAUCGGGGUUUGAUGAGCCCGCGUUGGAUUAGCUAGUUGGUGGGGUAAAGGCCUACCAAGGCGACGAUCCAUAGCUGGUCUGAGAGGAUGAUCAGCCACAUUGGGACUGAGACACGGCCCAAACUCCUACGGGAGGCAGCAGUGGGGAAUAUUGGACAAUGGGCGCAAGCCUGAUCCAGCCAUGCCGCGUGAGUGAUGAAGGCCCUAGGGUUGUAAAGCUCUUUCACCGGUGAAGAUAAUGACGGUAACCGGAGAAGAAGCCCCGGCUAACUUCGUGCCAGCCGCCGCAGUAACAC
rnacentral:rRNA from 1 species